rnacentral:rRNA from 1 species
AUUGAACGCUGGCGGCAGGCCUAACACAUGCAAGUCGAACGGUAACAGGAAGAAUCUUGCUUCUUUGCUGACGAGUGGCGGACGGGUGAGUAAUGUCUGGGAAACUGCCUGAUGGAGGGGGAUAACUACUGGAAACGGUAGCUAAUACCGCAUAACGUCGCAAGACCAAAGAGGGGGACCUUUGGGCCUCUUGCCAUCGGAUGUGCCCAGAUGGGAUUAGCUAGUAGGUGGGGUAACGGCUCACCUAGGCGACGAUCCCUAGCUGGUCUGAGAGGAUGACCAGCCACACUGGAACUGAGACACGGUCCAGACUCCUACGGGAGGCAGCAGUGGGGAAUAUUGCACAAUGGGCGCAAGCCUGAUGCAGCCAUGCCGCGUGUAUGAAGAAGGCCUUCGGGUUGUAAAGUACUUUCAGCGGGGAGGAAGGGAGUAAAGUUAAGACCUUUGCUCAUUGACGUUACCCGCAGAAGAAGCACCGGCUAACUCCGU